rnacentral:lncRNA from 1 species
GAAAGAGACAAAGGAGAAUGGAAGACACCAAGUGCAAAAAGAACUGUACACUCUACUUGCGUUGUUAAAAAGAUGCAGGGGAUGCCUGAAUUGUUCACUAUCAGUAAUUCCUUGGCUUGAUAUUCCCAACACUAUUUUAUGAGAAAGCUGUUAACCAAUGUGAUGCUCGGAAGUAUACUACAUGUAUUGUCUCACUUCUAAAGAAUUAGUCAUCGGACGAUAUGCAACAGUGAGGUGCGUUUCCCUGCGAUGAUUGCCACCAUCUGAAAUUUCCUUUCCUGCUGAUUUGGAACAUGCCGCCCCAUCUCCGUGCUUCAAGUUGUU